CAGGGAGACAACAAAAUGUUUAAUAUUAUUUUGUCACCUUAGGUCGAUCGGUAUCUCACGUUUUUAACUAAUUAAGAAUUUCAAUUCCUAAGUUUUUCUAGGUCACACCCAUUAUUUUUCCUGGGCCAUUAGCUCAGGUGGUUAGAGCGCACCCCUGAUAAGGGUGAGGUCCCUGGUUCAAGUCCAGGAUGGCCCAUAUCUCUAUGUUGGGGGUAUAGCUCAGUUGGUAGAGCGCCUGCUUUGCAAGCAGGAUGUCAGCGGUUCGAGUCCGCUUACCUCCACUGAUUACCACCUCUUCCAUAAUUUGUUGAAAGGAAAUUUUUUGAGUUGUGAUCAACUUCUGAACGAAUCUAGCUUCCUAAUGAACGCAUUAAGAUGCUGGACUCAUUGAAUUAAUUUCAUUGUUUUCAGAGAACCUUGACAACUGCAUAGAUUAUUUUUUAAAGACAAUAAGCAUCUUUAAUGAUGCAGAUUUUUAUUUGUGCGAAUGCAUUAAUAACAAUUCUAUUAAGCUGAUGCUUCAAUUUUGAAGUUAUU
rnacentral:tRNA from 1 species